rnacentral:rRNA from 1 species
CCAGCAGCCGCGGUAAUUCCAGCUCUAAUAGCGUAUAUUAAAGUUGUUGCAGUUAAAAAGCUUGUAGUCGGAUGUCGGGCUCGGGCAGGCUGUCGGCUUCGGUCGGACGGCAGGCUCGGGUCUUUCUGCCUGAGGAACCCGUGGCACUUAACUGUGCGGCGUGGGGACGCAGGCCGUUUACUUUGAAAAAAUUAGAGUGUUCAAAGCAGGCUUACGCUUGAAUACAUUAGCAUGGAAUAAUGGAAUAGGACUUUGGUUCUAUUUUGUUGGUUCUAGGACCGAAGUAAUGAUUAAUAGGGAUAGUUGGGGGCAUUCGUAUUUAAUUGUCAGAGGCGAAAUUCUUGGACUUAUGAAAGACGAACAUCUGCGAAAGCAUUUGCCAAGGAUGUUUUCAUUGAUCACG